rnacentral:rRNA from 1 species
UACGGAGGGAGCUAGCGUUGUUCGGAAUUACUGGGCGUAAAGCGCACGUAGGCGGCUUUGUAAGUUAGAGGUGAAAGCCCGGGGCUCAACCCCGGAAUUGCCUUUAAGACUGCAUCGCUUGAAUCCGGGAGAGGUGAGUGGAAUUCCGAGUGUAGAGGUGAAAUUCGUAGAUAUUCGGAAGAACACCAGUGGCGAAGGCGGCUCACUGGUCCGGUACUGACGCUGAGGUGCGAAAGCGUGGGGAGCAAACAGG